CAGCAGCCGCGGUAAUACGUAGGGUGCAAGCGUUAAUCGGAAUUACUGGGCGUAAAGCGUGCGCAGGCGGUUAUAUAAGACAGAUGUGAAAUCCCCGGGCUCAACCUGGGAACUGCAUUUGUGACUGUAUAGCUAGAGUACGGCAGAGGGGGAUGGAAUUCCGCGUGUAGCAGUGAAAUGCGUAGAUAUGCGGAGGAACACCGAUGGCGAAGGCAAUCCCCUGGGCCUGUACUGACGCUUAUGCACGAAAGCGUGGGGAGCAAACAGGAUUAGAUACCCGAGUAGUCCCUGUCUCUUAUAC
rnacentral:rRNA from 1 species